ACUGUCAGUCGAGCGGUACAGGUCCUUCUGGAUGCUGACGAGCGGCGGACGGGUGAGUAAUGCAUAGGAAUCUGCCCGGUAGUGGGGGAUAACCUGCGGGAAACCCACGCUAAUACCGCAUACGUCCUACGGGAGAAAGGGGGCUGGCGCUCCCGCUAUUGGAUGAGCCUAUCUCUGAUUAGCUAGUUGGUGGGGUAAAGGCUUACCAAGGCAACGAUCCGUAGCUGGUCUGAGAGGAUGAUCGGCCACAUCGGGACUGAGACACAGCCCGAACUCCUACCGGAGGCAGCAGUGGGGAAUAUUGGACAAUGGGGGCAACCCUGAUCCAGCCAUGCCGCGUGUGUGAAGAAGGCCCUCGGGUUGUAAAGCACUUUCAGCGAGGAAGAACGCCUGUCGGUUAAUACCCGGUAGGAAAGACAUCACUCGCACAAGAAGCACCGGCUAACUCCGUGCCAGCAGCCGCGGUAAUACGGAGGGUGCAAGCGUUAAUCGGAAUUACUGGGCGUAAAGCGCGCGUACGUGGCUUGAUAAGCCGGUUGUGAAAGCCCCGGGCUCAACCUGGGAACGGCCUCCGGAACUGUCAGGCUAGAGUGAAUGAGAGGAAGGUAGAAUUCCCGGUGGACGGGUGAAAUGCGUAUAUAUCGGGAGGAAUACAAGUGGCUAACGCGGCCUUCUGGACUGACACUGACACUGACGGGCGUAAGCGUGGGUAGCUAACAAGAUUAAAUACACGGGUAGUCCGCGCCGUACACGAUGUCGAUCAGCCGUUGGGUGCGU
rnacentral:rRNA from 1 species